ACUCAAAUGAAUUGACGGGGACCUGCACAAGCGGUGGAGCGCGUGGUUUAAUUCGUCACAAAGCGUAGAACCUUACCCAGGCUUGACAUCUCUAGAAGUCCCGAGAAACCGGGAUGUGCCGCAAGGAACUAGAUGACAGGUGCUGCACGGUCGUCGUCAGCUCGUGCUGUGAAGUGUCCCGUUCAGUCGGUUAACGAGCGCAACCCUUAUCCUGUGUUAUACAUGUCACAGGAAACUGCCCCAGUUAAUGGGGAGGAAGGUGAGGAUGACGUCAGAUCAGCGUGGCUCUUACGCCUGGGGCCACACACACGCUACAAUGGGAAGUAACAAUGGGUCGCUAAGCCGUGAGGCGGAGCUAAUCCUAUCAAACCUUCCCCCAAUUCGGAUUGCAGGCUGCAACUCGCCUGCAUGAAGUCGGAAUCGCUAGUAACGGCCAAUCAGCUACGUGGCCGUGAAUACGUUCUCAGGUCUUGUACACACCGCCCGU
rnacentral:rRNA from 1 species